rnacentral:rRNA from 1 species
AUUGAACGCUGGCGGCAGGCCUAACACAUGCAAGUCGAACGCGUGGGGGAGGGGUGAAUUAUGUCUGGGAAACCGCCUGAUGGAGGGGGAUAACUACUGGAAACGGUCGCUAAUACCAUAUAACCUCAGAUAUGCACAUAUGGGAAUAGCUUGUUGGUGGGGUAACGGCUCACCAAGGCGACGAUCCCUAGCUGGUCUGAGAGGAUGACCAGCCACACUGGAACUGAGACACGGUCCAGACUCCUACGGGAGGCAGCAGUGGGGAAUAUUGCACAAUGGGCGCAAGCCUGAUGCAGCCAUGCCGCGUGUAUGAAGAAGGCCUUCGGGUUGAAAAGUACUUUCAGCGGGGAGGCGUUACCCGCAGAAGAAGCACCGGCUAACUCCGUGCCAGCAGCCGCGGUAAUAC